GACAUUUGCUCGCUCCGGGGAUUGAACCUUCUGCUUCCACUUGAUUCACUGACGAACGUGAAAUGCAAAAUAAGCCGGGAGAGAAGAGCUGUGGUGCCAGCAGCUGCUUCCCGGGGAAACUGCUGACACCUGAGGAGCUUCUGGGUGGAGGACACCACGAUCCACACCACAGCCUGUGCCAGAGGGCAUGGCUGGGUGGGAGUGCUGGCACCAGCACAGCUUUCAGAAGACGACAGGAAUUUGCCCAGACUCCAGUUAGCAGGAGCAGAAGGCACAGCCAUCCUGUUUGAUGUCCGUGACAAAAAGCCUGGGAUGAAGGACAAAACGAUCAAAAAUCAAUACUUCAAAAUCUCUGCCUUUCAAAAAAAGAUUUGAAACCAGCCUCCCCCUGUCUCUUCCUUUGAGGUUCUGCUGAGAGGCUUUGUUUUAAGGGAUGCCAUUUUCAAAGAGGGGCAGGAGAAAGCUGGGGAAAAAAAAAAGUUUAAAUUAUUUUCCCAGUUCAGUCAUUCCAUAGAGGAGCAUCAUGAGGGAAAACUGGCUUCAAAGGCCAGGGGAAAGCAGGAGAAAUAAAAGCAUUUCUCCCUCCAUAUAAAGGCAGCUGACUCCUCUUGGUGAAAACGUUGUCAUAUUUUGUUUAAAUUUAUGUAUUUCUUUGGAACUUUGGGAUUGCAGGCGAAGGUUUAACUCCCUGACUUUAGCCCAGGAGGUGCAGUAAAUGGAGCUCUGCCUCUAAUUUGUGUCAUGUUUAAUUAAGAGUAAUGAAUAGAGGAAUUUCUUUGCCCUCUCAAGUCAGUUUGUCCUGCAUUUGCAGCUUUUUUUUUUCCCCAGUAACUGCCCAUCUUGCC